AUUGAACGCUGGCGGCAGGCUUAACACAUGCAAGUCGAACGAGUGGCGGACGGGUGAGUAAUUCUUGGGAAUCUAGCUUAUGGAGGGGGAUAACUACGGGAAACUGUAGCUAAUACCGCGUACCAUAGGAUGAGCCCAAGUGGGAUUAGGUAGUUGGUGAGGUAAAGGCUCACCAAGCCGACGAUCUCUAGCUGGUCUGAGAGGAUGACCAGCGAAUAUGGGACAGAGAGUCGGCCCAGGGCCCAGCGCGAGGCAGAAGUGGGGAGCAGAGGUCAACCGGCGGAAUCGGCUGCAGACUUGCCGCGUGUACGAAGAAGGCCUUCGGGUUGUAAAGAUCUUUUGGAAGCGAGGCGUUAAAUACAGAAGACGCCCACGCUAACUCCGUGCCAGCCGCCGCGGUAAUAC
rnacentral:rRNA from 1 species